AGUGAACGCUGGCGGUGUGCCUAACACAUGCAAGUCGAGCGACCACACGGGGAGCUUUCUCCUCUAACGUUAGCGGCGGACGGGUGAGUAGAACAUAGAUAACCUUCCUCUAUCACGGGGGUAACUUCGGGAAACCGGACCCAAUACCCGCAAAUAUAUUUAACGGCAUGGUUCAAUAGUGCAAGACGGUUUUCCUGUCACUGAUAGAUUGUCCCGCGCCGGAUUAGCUAGUUGGUAAGGUAACGGCUUACCAAGGCAACGAUGCGUAGCCGACCUGAGAGGGUGAUCAGCCACACUGGAACUGAGACACGGUCCAGACUCCUACGGGAGGCAGCAGUGGGGAAUAUUCCACAAUGGGCGAAAGCCUGACGCAGCAACGCCGCGUGAGUGAUGAAGGUCUUCGGGUCGUAAAGCUCUGUUGUUAGGAAAGAAAAAAUGUAGAAGUAACUCUGCACGUCUUGACGGUACCUAAAGAGAAAGCCACGGCUAACUUCGUG
rnacentral:rRNA from 1 species